rnacentral:rRNA from 1 species
UUGAACGCUGGCGGCAUGCCUUACACAUGCAAGUCGAACGGCAGCACGGGGGCAACCCUGGUGGCGAGUGGCGAACGGGUGAGUAAUACAUCGGAACGUGCCCAGUAGUGGGGGAUAGCCCGGCGAAAGCCGGAUUAAUACCGCAUACGACCUACGGGUGAAAGCGGGGGAUCGCAAGACCUCGCGCUAUCGGAGCGGCCGAUGUCAGAUUAGGUUGUUGGUGGGGUAAAAGCCUACCAAGCCGACGAUCUGUAGCUGGUCUGAGAGGACGACCAGCCACACUGGGACUGAGACACGGCCCAGACUCCUACGGGAGGCAGCAGUGGGGAAUUUUGGACAAUGGGCGCAAGCCUGAUCCAGCCAUGCCGCGUGCGGGAAGAAGGCCU